CAACCUGCCGAUGACUCGGGGAUAGCCUUUCGAAAGAAAGAUUAAUACCCGAUGGCAUAGUUCUUCCGCAUGGUAGAACUAUUAAAGAAUUUCGGUCAUCGAUGGGGAUGCGUUCCAUUAGGUUGUUGGCGGGGUAACGGCCCACCAAGCCUUCGAUGGAUAGGGGUUCUGAGAGGAAGGUCCCCCACAUUGGAACUGAGACACGGUCCAAACUCCUACGGGAGGCAGCAGUGAGGAAUAUUGGUCAAUGGACGAGAGUCUGAACCAGCCAAGUAGCGUGAAGGAUGACUGCCCUAUGGGUUGUAAACUUCUUUUAUACGGGAAUAAAGUGAGGCACGUGUGCCUUUUUGUAUGUACCGUAUGAAUAAGGAUCGGCUAACUCCGUGCCAGCAGCCGCGGUAAUACGGAGGAUCCGGGCGUUAUCCGGAUUUAUUGGGUUUAAAGGGAGCGUANGCGGACGCUUAAGUCAGUUGUGAAAGUUUGCGGCUCAACCGUAAAAUUGCAGUUGAUACUGGGUGUCUUGAGUACAGUAGAGGCAGGCGGAAUUCGUGGUGUAGCGGUGAAAUGCUUAGAUAUCACGAAGAACUCCGAUUG
rnacentral:rRNA from 1 species